UACGGAGGGUGCGAGCGUUGUUCGGAAUCAUUGGGCGUAAAGCGUGCGUAGGCGGUAAGGUAUGUCUGAUGUGAAAGCUUGGGGCUCAACUCCAAAAGUGCAUUGGAAACUGCUUUACUUGAAUCCUGGAGAGGUUGGCGGAAUUCCUGGUGUAGAGGUGAAAUUCGUAGAUAUCAGGAGGAACACCGGUGGCGAAGGCGGCCAACUGGACAGUGAUUGACGCUGAGGCACGAAAGCGUGGGGAGCAAACAGG
rnacentral:rRNA from 1 species